GAAGGACUUCUGGCUACGACAUCUGUCACUCCACUGAUCACCAGGGCUGAUCUGGUUGGCUAGGCAGGUGUCCCCUUCCUCUCUCACCGCUCCAUGUGCGUCCCUCCCCAAGAUGUGUGCUCUGCAAAGAGAACGACCUUACCCAAAUAGAGAUGGACCAGUCUUUGGUCGAGAGUAUAUGGAGUAGCUGCCCUUCCCUGCUAGAACCUCCAAACAAACUCUCAGAAGCUCAGUCAUGAAAGUCUUUAGCAGACCAUUAUGCUGUCUCCCCAGCCCAAGUAGAAGUUAGUAUUUUAAAUAUUUAAUUUA
rfam:Erinaceus europaeus unplaced genomic scaffold scaffold00236, whole genome shotgun sequence